rnacentral:rRNA from 2 species
GAUUUCUGGCUUGGUGUGUCUGACCCGCCACGGUUACGUGUGUGAGUGUUGGUACAUACCUGCCAUCCUUGUAGAUGAUGGCACUACCCUUCAUUGGGCCGGUACCAUACUUUCUACAUCGUUUACUUUGAAAAAAUUAGAGUGUUUCAAGCAGGCAAUUGCUAUGAAUACAUUAGCAUGGAAUAAUAAUCUAGGACUAUCGGUUCUAUUUUGUUGGUUUCUAGAGCUGAAGUAAUGAUUGAUAGGGAUAGUUGGGGGUGCUAGUAUUCAGUGGCCAGAGGUGAAAUUCUCGGAUUCCCUGAAGACUCACUUAUGCGAAAGCAUU